UACAGAGGUCCCAAGCGUUGUUCGGAUUUACUGGGCGUAAAGCGUACGCAGGCGGCUUUGCAAGACAGGCGUGAAAUCCCCGGGCCUAACCUGGGAACUGCAUUUGUGACUGCAUGGUUAGAGUUUGUCAGAGGGGGGUGGAAUUCCACGUGUAGCAGUGAAAUGCGUAGAUAUGUGGAGGAGCACCGAUGGCGAAGGCAGCCCCCUGGGAUGUGACUGACGCUCAUGUACGAAAGCGUGGGGAGCAAACAGG
rnacentral:rRNA from 1 species